GAUGAACGCUGGCGGCGUGCUUAACACAUGCAGGUCGAACGAAGCACUUUAUUUGAUUUCCUUCGGGACUGAUUAUUUUGUGACUGAGUGGCGGACGGGUGAGUAACGCGUGGGUAACCUGCCUUGUACAGGGGGAUAACAGUUGGAAACGGCUGCUAAUACCGCAUAAGCGCACAGCAUCGCAUGAUGCAGUGUGAAAAACUCCGGUGGUAUAAGAUGGACCCGCGUUGGAUUAGCUAGUUGGUGAGGUAACGGCCCACCAAGGCGACGAUCCAUAGCCGACCUGAGAGUGUGACCGGCCACAUUGGGACUGAGACACGGCCCAAACUCCUACGGGAGGCAGCAGUGGGGAAUAUUGCACAAUGGGCGAAAGCCUGAUGCAGCGACGCCGCGUGAGCGAAGAAGUAUUUCGGUAUGUAAAGCUCUAUCAGCAGGGAAGAUAAUGACGGUACCUGACUAAGAAGCACCGGCUAAAUACGUG
rnacentral:rRNA from 1 species